rnacentral:rRNA from 1 species
AUGUAUCGGCACCACCCUACCGGCGAGUACCGGAUACUAGUGUAUGGUAAAAACAAGGAAACCGAUUAUCGUCAUGAGGAGGAAAUCUGUUUCUAUGAUGAUGCCUGCUACAUCUUGGCAUUGGGCUCCGUCCAGCCAUUGAGGAACAUCGGGUGCCCGCCGAAGGUUGAGCAACUGCUUUUACACCGUGAGGCUACGACAGCUGUUCUGUUUCGUGGCAACCUGCAUUGGCACAUAGACCAAAAUGAGACUGAAAGCAACAUGAUAGUGGUAUUCGACACCACAGCUGAGUCGUUCCGGCAGAUGCAUGCUCCAGUUGUUCCGGUUUUUAGAAAUGUUCCUGCCUAUGCUGACUUGUUUGACAUGGAUGGCGUGCUUGGCAUGCUAAGUUGUAAUGAGGCCGCGGACACCAUCGAUAUUUGGGUGUUGCAGGACUAUGAAAGCGAGGUCUGGACCUUCAAGUGCAAGAUUGAAUUGCUGGUCAUUGAGAUCAAGGUAUUGUGUGGACAAUAUGAUGAUUGUUGGUAUGCCGUGGUCAUGCAUGUGGAUGGUGAGUUGCUUGUGCUAGUCCAGUAUGCCGAAUGGCUACUUCAGAUUGACAUGGAUGGCAAGUUCGUCGCCACUUUCCAUCGCCAUUCACUCAGUCUUACUAAAUUGCAGUUCAAACAAACUCUUGUUCCACAUACUUUCUUUUUGACACUAGAAUAA